rnacentral:tRNA from 1 species
AUUUAUAUAGUUUAAACAUAAAACCUUUUAUUUUCAAUAAAAAAAUGAGUUAAAACUCUAUAAAUA